rnacentral:rRNA from 1 species
UUGCCAGCCCGCUCAGAAACUCAAAGGAAUUGACGGGGCCGCACAAGCGGUGGAGUAUGUGGUUUAAUUCGAUGCAACGCGAAGAACCUUACCUGGUCUUGACAUCCCGGAGACCCUUAGGAAACUAGGGGGUGCUUCCAUCUGGAAGAAUCUGGAGACAGGUGCUGCAUGGCUGUCGUCAGCUCGUGUCGUGAGAUGUUGGGUUAAGUCCCGCAACGAGCGCAACCCUUGCCUUUAGUUGCCAGCAGUUCGGCUGGGCACUCUAAAGGGACUGCCGGUGUUAAACCGGAGGAAGGUGGGGAUGACGUCAAGUCCUCAUGGCCUUUAUGACCAGGGCUACACACGUACUACAAUGGCCGAUACAAGGGGCAGCGACACUGCGAGGUGAAGCCAAUCCCGUAAAAUCGGUCUCAGUCCGGAUUGGAGUCUGCAACUCGACUCCAUGAAGUUGGAAUCGCUAGUAAUCGUGGAUCAGCAUGCCACGGUGAAUACGUUCCCGGGCCUU